rnacentral:lncRNA from 1 species
UUUUCCUUUUCCUUCCAAUGGUUCUAUUGUGUUGGGUGAAAAAGUGAGAAAUUGGAUCCCUUGGCUUCAACAUGUUAUUCUUGAUUUUGCCUCUGAUUUCCAACUAUUGAGGAAGAGUAGUAGAUCUCACUUUAUUCAUCUGUUCAGAGAAGGAUUUCACCAACUCCGUUGCUUCAUGCUCUGUACAGUUCUAAGAUAAAUUUCAAUGUGGAUAUGCCUGCUAUUUGACACAGAUGUGGGCCCGAAUGUUAAACAAGGAAUGACGGUGGAUAUCAAUCGAGAUUUGUCCAGAAAGGGAUCUCAAGUUGGUUUUUUAUGGGGGAAAAAAGCAUGCCAAAAUGGCCUGUCAGAAUUAUUAUUAGAGAAUGGCAUAUGCAGGGAUGGUUGGACACCCAUCCUACAUCAUCUUGGAAAGGUGGAGCUCUCAAAUUUUGGCUUGCUAUCAGUCUGAUAUCUUUCACGAGGGCAUUUGAGAUACAGAGCCCUGUUGAUUUGUUGCUCUCGAUUUCAUCUGGAAAAAUAUAUAUAAUAAUAGAGUUGCCAGCAGGAUGAAUUGAAGAGCCCAUUUGUACAGACUGAAGACCCAGUUUGCCUGGUCUAUAGCAGUAUAAGGAGAGGUCUGUUGGCAAAUUUCAGGUAGAUUAAUUCGCCAUUUAUCAUUAUGCGUGACUUUUUCAGUUUCCAAUAUUCCUCCUUAAUUAAUUCUGUGCAGGAUGGAUGUUCUAUGCAGUAUUCUGCUUCUGCAUUCAACACAGUUUUGAUCUUCAAUGUUGAUAGACAAGUAAGAAGAAUUUGGUGAAGAAAAUAAUUGAUUUGCAAAAGAAGCAGUAGUUUGCAUAUGGUCCCCUAUUUGAUUGAUUUUUUAAAGGUACAUUAGUUGUUUUGCCUGAAUUGUAUUACCAACUGUUUACUGGUUUUGGUUGGAGUUUGUAGACUAGUUCAAAUUCAUACAGUAGGAUAUGAAAUCAUCAGUAUUAAUAGGUAAGUUGAUAAUAUCUACAUGUCCUUUGUUAACUAGCUUCAGUUACAACUACUUUUCAUAAAGCAUUAAUUUAUUUAUUUGGUUUUUGGCAAAUUAAAAAGAAAAAUUAUCACUCUUUUGGCACUGGUUGUAUGUGAUUUGGUGUGGUUCAAUUAACCACUUGGUGCUAACUAGCUAACUAACUAACUGAAGUUUUUCUUUUUCCUUGCAGGUGCAUAAGUGGGAAAAAUGGUGUACAGCAAUAGCAUUGGAUUGGGUUUUUUUUUUAUUUAUUUCAUCCUCGAAUCAUUCUUACGAAAUUGUAUAGCAGGCAGCUAAUUAAUUUUUAUUUUUUGUUCGCCUUCCCCCAAUCCCUUGCAUGCAUAGCAUAGCAUAGCAGCAUUCCACAUUCCUUGUUAAUUUUGUACAUGUCAAGGCUGUUGAUUUUUAUCUAUAAAAAAUAAUCUGUACACUGUUGGCAUGGUGUCAAUAUUUUAGCCAACUUGAUGAUGUUUUAGUAUCUAUUUUUAUAAUGUAUAUGCACAUUUUUUAUAUUUUAAGUUCCUUUUAACAGUUUUUAACCUGAA